ensembl:lncRNA
AUGAACAAAAAAAUGCUGAGUGAAUCGCCAAAGUACUUGGAGAGAACCCAAACAGACAUGGAGAGAACAUCAAAUGCCAGACAAAAAGGCUCCAAGCAGAUGGUGGAUUUAAACCCAGGAUGUUCUUGCAAUUAGCCAAAGGAAUUCCUAAUAAUCACUAACCCAGCAAACAGACCCACGUGCCCAAAGUGGGCAACACAGGGAUGUUGACAUGCUGUGAACUGGAUUAAUGCUGUCUCUCCUGUUUUUUGAGUCAUUCUCAGAUACCCUGCAAGGCGAUAAGUUCCCUGCUAAGUAAGUAUUACUUCUCAAUGAUUUACUUUAACUGUCUGCAAGAGAUGUUAUAAAUUGC